UACGUAGGGUGCAAGCGUUGUCCGGAAUUAUUGGGCGUAAAGAGCUCGUAGGCGGUCUGUCGCGUCUGCUGUGAAAACUCGGGGCUUAACCCCGGGCCUGCAGUGGGUACGGGCAGACUAGAGUGCGGUAGGGGAGACUGGAAUUCCUGGUGUAGCGGUGAAAUGCGCAGAUAUCGGGAGGAACACCGGUGGCGAAGGCGGUUCUCUGGGCCUGACCUGACGCUGAGGAGCGAAAGCGUGGGGAGCGAACAGG
rnacentral:rRNA from 1 species